AUGUCUGGACCUCUCCUGUUGCAAGUAACACGGGCUAUCUUUAUUACCUUGUCAUACUUGAUGAUUUUUCGCACUAUGUGUGGACCUUCCCGUUGCGGCGAAAGUCGGACUCUGUUGCCACUCUCACCGCAUUCUACUCCUAUGUCUCCACGCAGUUUGGACAUCCCAUUCAUGCGUUGCAAACAGACAAUGGGAAGGAGUUCGAUAACCUUGCGAUUCGCAACCUUCUCGCCACACACAGCACGAUCUUUCGUCUCACUUGCCCGUAUAGUUCGCAACAAAACGGCCGCGCUGAGCGCGUGCUUCACACUCUCAAUGACUGCGUUCGCACCCUCCUCUUUCAUGCCAACGUGCCCCCAUGUUUUUGGCCAGACGCGCUUGCCACCGCAUCACUACUCAUUAACAUUCGUCCUUGUCGCACUCGCGGGAAUUUGCACCUCAUCACCUCUUGUUUGGCACGCCACCCUCCUAUGCUGA
rnacentral:rRNA from 1 species